rnacentral:rRNA from 1 species
AACGAACGCUGGCGGCAGGCCUAACACAUGCAAGUCGAACGCCGUAGCAAUACGGAGUGGCAGACGGGUGAGUAACACGUGGGAACGUACCCUUCGGUUCGGGAUAACUCAGGGAAACUUGAGCUAAUACCGGAUACGUCCGAGAGGAGAAAGAUUUAUCGCCGAGGGAUCGGCCCGCGUCUGAUUAGCUUGUUGGUGAGGUAACGGCUCACCAAGGCGACGAUCAGUAGCUGGUCNGAGAGGAUGAUCAGCCACAUUGGGACUGAGACACGGCCCAAACUCCUACGGAAGGCAGCAGUGGGGAAUAUUGGACAAUGGGCGCAAGCCUGAUCCAGCCAUGCCGCGUGAGUGAUGAAGGCCCUAGGGUUGUAAAGCUCUUUUACCCGGGAAGAUAAUGACUGUACCGGGAGAA